rnacentral:rRNA from 1 species
AAACAUUGCUUUAUGUCGUAUAUAAGGUUAACCCUGCUCAAUGAUAUGUUAAAUAGCCGCAGUACUUUGACUGUGCAAAGGUAGCAUAAUCAUUUGGCUUAUAAUUGAAGUCUGGAAUGAAUGGGAGUAUGGGUAGUAACUGUCUUACCAUAAAUAAGUGAAUUUACUAAUUAAGUGAAAAUUCUUAUAAUUAUAUAAUAGACGAGAAGACCCUAGAAAUUUUAUAUAUUUAUGUUUACCUAAACUAUUUUGUUGGGGCGACAGAACAACAUAAAACUUGUUUAUUUUUAUUUGACCUUAUUGAAUAGUAUAACUAAAUUACUCUAGGGAUAACAGCAUAAUACAAAAGAGUUUGUGACCUCGAUGUUGGACUAGGAAUAUUAUUGUUUAGAAGAUAAUAAUAAAGGCUCUGUUCGAGCUCAUCCUCCUACGUGAUC